rnacentral:tRNA from 3 species
GCCUCUAUAGCUCAGUGGCAGAGCGUGUCACUCGUAAUGACAAGGUCGGGUGUUCGAUCCACCCUGGAGGCA